UACGUAGGGGGCGAGCGUUGUCCGGAUUCAUUGGGCGUAAAGAGCUCGUAGGCGGCUUGGCAAGUCGGAUGUGAAAACUCCAGGCUCAACCUGGAGCCGCCAUUCGAUACUGCUAUGGCUAGAGUCCGGUAGGGGAGUGUGGAAUUCCCGGUGUAGCGGUGAAAUGCGCAGAUAUCAGGAAGAACACCUAUGGCGAAGGCAGCUCUCUGGGACGGUACUGACGCUGAGACGCGAAAGCGUGGGGAGCGAACAGG
rnacentral:rRNA from 1 species